GCUCAACCGUAAACUUUAAAUUACACCCAUCUCGCCCGGGAACUACGAGCAAAGCUUAAAACCCAAAGGACUUGACGGUACCCCACAUCCACCUAGAGGAGCCUGUCCUAUAAUCGAUAACCCCCGCUUAACCUCACCAUUUUUAGCUUAUCAGCCUGUAUACCUCCGUCGUCAGCUUACCACGUGAGCGACCCUCAGUAAGCUUGAUGUCCAUACGCCAACACGUCAGGUCAAGGUGCAGCAAAUAAAAUGGGAAGAGAUGGGCUACACUCUCUAUUCUAGAAAACACGGAAGACUAUUUAUGAAACCUAGUCAAAAGGCGGAUUUAGUAGUAAAAAGAGACAAGAGUGCUCUUUUUAACAUGGCACUGGGGUGUGUACACACCGCCCGUCACCCUCUUCGAAGCUAACACAAAGUUUUUAACACACUUAAGCACUACAGAAGAGGCAAGUCGUAACAUGGUAAGUAUACCGGAAGGUGUGCUUGGAAA
rnacentral:rRNA from 1 species